GAUGAACGCUGGCGGCGUGCCUAAUACAUGCAAGUCGAGCGAACGGACGAGAAGCUUGCUUCUCUGAUGUUAGCGGCGGACGGGUGAGUAACACGUGGAUAACCUACCUAUAAGACUGGGAUAACUUCGGGAAACCGGAGCUAAUACAGGAUGAUAUUUUGAACCGCAUGGUUCAACAGUGAAAGACGGUCUUGCUGUCACUUAUAGAUGGAUCCGCGCUGCAUUAGCUAGUUGGUAAGGUAACGGCUUACCAAGGCAACGAUGCAUAGCCGACCUGAGAGGGUGAUCGGCCACACUGGAACUGAGACACGGUCCAGACUCCUACGGGAGGCAGCAGUAGGGAAUAUUGCGCAAUGGGCGAAAGCCUGACGGAGCAACGCCGCGUGAGUGAUGAAGGUCUUCGGAUCGUAAAACUCUGUUAUUAGGGAAGAACAGAUGUGUAAGUAACUGUGCACAUCUUGACGGUACCUAAUCAGAAAGCCACGGCUAACUACGUG
rnacentral:rRNA from 1 species